AGGGAACUGCUUGAGCAGCUCCGUCUUCUGCCGCUUGUAGUCGUCGGUAGCCGAGCGCCAGUGGGGCUCCUCCAGCACCUCGAAGAUCGCGGCCCCGAUGGACAGGUAGAAGAUGAUGGCCGAGGUUCAGCGUAAUUUCUCGUUUUCGACGCCGGCAGGCUGUGAAACGAGGGCUGUGGCUUUCCCGGAUGCGUGGAAGCGUGGGGGAAAGGUGAGAAGGAGAUCAGAAAAUAAGAAGUCUGUCGGCAGGUUUCACCCCUCCCCUGAGAUGUCGUCCAGACGUGUGCAUUACAGAUUCUUCAGAGCAGACACUGCAUCUCCCUUCUUCGUGCAUUUUGUACCUUUAAUAAAUGUUCCUGUGCAUGCUCUCUGUGUGUUUGGGAGUGAGGGAGAGGUAGCGGGUAGUAAUUUUCCAUGAGAUGGUCAAAACCCCUUCCAGGCUGAAGCUCUCCCUGUUUGUGAAGCAGCCCACGCUACUCCGUGUUCACACUUCCAGGCAGGAGGAAGGCAACCCGACUGCUUUAAAUGAAUAGGGCUGGAAAUGGGGUUAAAUGGGACAGGGAGAGGAUACAGCAAUGUGUCAUGCACCCUGGCAAAGUGCUUCUGGUGCGGACACAGUUCAUCUUACAUGGAUCAUCUUACAAACACUGUUUUUGUGCAAGUAACUUGUUUUAUUACUUUUCUAGCCCCCCCCAACAGGAAGUAAACAGUCAAGAAAUAGAGUCGUUCAUAUCAGUUGCAUCAACACUAAGGAUUUUGGGUUGUAUAGGUACAUCAGUUGCAGUACACAAUCCAAAAGGCCAGCUGAAAUUUCUCCUGCAGAUGUAGUUGAAAUGGAAGGAGGGGGAAUGGAGGAGAAUGGGAAAGGGAAAGGAAACAAGUAGAAAAUAGUGUCGUAAGGAAACUACACUAACCUUUUUUUAUUAAGGCAAAAAUGGGGGAUGCUUCAUGAAGUUGUAAGGCAGAACUUUGAAUUCAAAGGAAAAGAAGAACCUCAUGAUGCACAAUUAGCCCAUGAAAAUUAUUCCCAGAUGUUAUCACUUGGCCCAAGACCUUUGCAAAAUUUGAAAAGCCAUUGGCCACAUAAUAAUGUGAGCAUCCAUCAUUGCUUCACUCACUAAUUUAAAAGUAAAGUUCAAAAUCCUAAGGUAUAUAAAUACUUACGGCAAGUGACUGAAAGUGUUGAAGAACUCUUUCAGUAGGCAAACUAUGAUACAAUUUUCCUUUUCGUGCUCUUGCACCUUCUUCUGAGUCACCUGCAAAUGAUUAGGUUAGUCCAACAGCAGCAUCGGUAGCCUGACACGAUACAGCAAUACUACACUUGUGUGUUCCUGACCCUGAACAUCUGUGCUUCGUAAUGGGAAGGUAUUUGAUUAUAUUUUGAAACUGUACUCUUCUCCAUCUGUCUUUAGGUCUCUAAAGGCACAUUUAUACAUUGAAACAGUAUCUUAAAGUCACAAGGAAUAACACGAAUGACCCUGAACCCACUGCAGUUAUAGAGCACAGACAAGCAAAAACACUUUCAGGCAUUUUAUAGAGAGUUUGUUUGCAAUUUUGAUUCAACGUUUCUACUUUCCACUCUAACCUCCCAAUCACUGAUUGCAUAAUUAGUGCUCUCAGUUAGCUGAGUCAGUGUUUAAAAACAAACAGACCUGUAAAUCACAUAUCAUUUUUCCCUGUGUUGAAAUGCUAUUGCACUUGUUAGACUCUCUCCUUGUGUUUCCCUGAGUUUCAAAGAGAUGAGCCUGGUAAGGAACAAUAUCUAGAAAAAUAGUUUAUUCCCCAAGGAACCAUAAUCAACUAGUCCUACAAGUAGGGUUGAUCCACUGAGUAUCAGUAAACUUCUUGCAUUUAGAUAUUUCACUUUGAUUCCGUUGUCUUUUGCAGAACAAAUUACAAGGUAUAAUUUCAUGCUGCUGGCCAAAGGACUGUGGCAAGAAGGAAUGUUUUCUGUAGCUGGCCUGUCUUUGCACCUCCUGAUCCAAAAUGCUUCUCCUGACCUCAUAAAAGAUCCCAUAUCCUCUUAUUCAUGGCCCUUUUCUCCUCUUUAUUUCCCUUGGAUUAAACAGUACUCUAUUGUUAACCCACAGCACCUGCCACAUAGGCCCCACAGCUUUUCAUGCUAGGCUAAGUUAAUGAAUAGGCUGGGGUUAUUCACUCACAGGCUUUUAAAUCUCAUUAAAAAUCAAGAGAGAACCAGCAGAUAGCACUGUGGUGAGCAAUACCACAAGUAUCAAUCAUUUAUACUAUUUGCAUAGGUCGUUAUUUCAGGCUGUCCAGUCCAAAAGGAAAUCUCUAUCAUCCAAGAUGUAUGUCUAAGACACAUUUGCUGUACAGAUGUUUCCUAGAACAGCCUGAAAUGAAUUAAUAAAUGUCAGAAUAUGUUUUAGAUGGAGCAACUAAAAGACAUUAUUUGGGCAAAGCAAACCUGUCAUGUAGUGGCAGAGACUGCAGGUUGUACUGAGUAUGAAAUAUGAGCCUCUCUUCAAGCCUCUACCAUUUUUCACUUAGGAGUCUGGUUUUGCCUGGUUGAUGACUGUUUUCAGUGCCUGUCAACUCUGCAUCUUUUCUUUAUCUGUUGAAAUUUGGACACCUCAACAUUGCCUUCAAGUGUUAUACAUCUAGCCAUGGAAGGUUGAACUAAGUUCAGAAGUGUACUAUCGUGACUACCUUAAGCCAUUUGGCUUCUUUGGUGCAGUCCAGUGUGCACAGAUAGGGUAAGGCUGGUCUGCAGAUGAUGCAGAAUUUUAUAUGAGACAUUUGUAGAAAGUUAAAAAAUUCUCCAUGGGAUUGUUCAUACCUUUUGGCUUAAGUAUUUACGCAAAGCAAUUUUAUGCCCCGAAUGUAGAGUAACACAUAGUAAAUCAUAUUAAAAAAUAAUAAAAACCUUUACCAAAACAAUCUGCAUACCACUGCAACAGACUUCUUCACUCAUAGGCAGAUAAUGAGUGAACAAACACCACAUGACAGAUGUUAGUCAUGUUGCUUAAUGAAUAACUGGUGAUGAGUACAAUACCUGUGUGGAAUGGCUGUAAUAAGUUCAGCGAGAAAUAUGCAUUUGGAUCAUCAGUUUUGCACUGAGAUACCUGCAGUGCUCAAGAGAAAUGUCUUCAUCAGGAAGAAGCCUAUGCAUUUCAACAUUUUUUCUGCAUGUAUUUCCUUGACUGCCUUGUUCCUCAGCCAUCCAUAGAAGUCACUGGAUGAUGAAACAUGCUUUCCUUCAAAAUACUUUAAAAAGAAAUACUUUGGCCUUCUCUUUCUGCUCCACCAUGGCCUCAGUGGUCGUGCCAAACGUUUUAUGACAGUCCUUCACACUGACAUUCAUGUCAGUGAUCUAAGCAGUUCAGGAUACAACUCUUCAAAAAACCCCAACUUGUACGAUGUCAGUCCUGGACUGGGUUUUACCAUCAUGAUACCCAGAGCACAUUCCUGCUCUAGACAGUAUGCUCAAGGAUAGCUGAGCACCAUGGUAACAGUCAGUGAAUAUGCAACAAUCUGUUAUUUUGUUAUGUAAAACAUCACUGUCAAGUCUUAUUUUUGUGUCAUUAAGAAGGAGUUAAAUUUUAUUUGUAUAUAGUAAUAUGAAUGAAUGCCUGUACAUUGCUCUGAGAUUUGUUUAAAUUAACUUUUAUCAAUCUGGUGUCAUGCAGUGCCCGCAGUGCAUACCUUCUCCAGUGUUACUGCUUGAAUGUGAUAGGGGUAGAUUACAGGGGAGAAUUCAAGGAGCUGUUAGUCUCCCCCGUCUCCUAGCUAGGUUACACAGCUCCAUAUCUGUGUGCCAGAUUGAGCAAUGAAGGACCUUGUGUGUGGCUGGGCAGCUCCCAAAUCCACAUCAGGCUCCCUUCCAUGCACGGUGUGUAGCACUCACAUUUUGUUAGUCAACAUGCCUGAAGAGCUGGUCCCACCUACUUCUCUUCCCUUUAUAGAAACAAAGUCAGCACAUUAAUUUUGGCAGAGGAGAAGCAGAGGGGAGGUUGAUGGCUUUUUUUUUUCCUCCUGGGUGAAUAGAGCCUUGUGGAUAACAAAUGAAGACAGCUAUACACCCAAAAAACAUUGAAAAGGAUCAUAUUCUUAUCAUCUGUUCUCCUGUUCCAAACCCUGCAGCAACAGCUUGUGAGGUGAGAUUGGGUCUUA